rnacentral:rRNA from 1 species
AAACAUCUAAGUACCCCGAGGAAAAGAAAUCAACCGAGAUUCCCCCAGUAGCGGCGAGCGAACGGGGAGGAGCCCAGAGCCUGAAUCAGUGUGUGUGUUAGUGGAAGCGUCUGGAAAGGCGCGCGAUACAGGGUGACAGCCCCGUACACAAAAAUGCACAUGCUGUGAGCUCGAUGAGUAGGGCGGGACACGUGGUAUCCUGUCUGAAUAUGGGGGGACCAUCCUCCAAGGCUAAAUACUCCUGACUGACCGAUAGUGAACCAGUACCGUGAGGGAAAGGCGAAAAGAACCCCGGCGAGGGGAGUGAAAAAGAACCUGAAACCGUGUACGUACAAGCAGUGGGAGCCUCUUUAUGGGGUGACUGCGUACCUUUUGUAUAAUGGGUCAGCGACUUAUAUUCUGUAGCAAGGUUAACCGAAUAGGGGAGCCGAAGGGAAACCGAGUCUUAACUGGGCGUUAAGUUGCAGGGUAUAGACCCGAAACCCGGUGAUCUAGCCAUGGGCAGGUUGAAGGUUGGGUAACACUAACUGGAGGACCGAACCGACUAAUGUUGAAAAAUUAGCGGAUGACUUGUGGCUGGGGGUGAAAGGCCAAUCAAACCGGGAGAUAGCUGGUUCUCCCCGAAAGCUAUUUAGGUAGCGCCUCGUGAAUUCAUCUCCGGGGGUAGAGCACUGUUUCGGCAAGGGGGUCAUCCCGACUUACCAACCCGAUGCAAACUGCGAAUACCGGAGAAUGUUAUCACGGGAGACACACGGCGGGUGCUAACGUCCGUCGUGAAGAGGGAAACAACCCAGACCGCCAGCUAAGGUCCCAAAGUCAUGGUUAAGUGGGAAACGAUGUGGGAAGGCCCAGACAGCCAGGAUGUUGGCUUAGAAGCAGCCAUCAUUUAAAGAAAGCGUAAUAGCUCACUGGUCGAGUCGGCCUGCGCGGAAGAUGUAACGGGGCUAAACCAUGCACCGAAGCUGCGGCAGCGACACUAUGUGUUGUUGGGUAGGGGAGCGUUCUGUAAGCCUGUGAAGGUGUACUGUGAGGUAUGCUGGAGGUAUCAGAAGUGCGAAUGCUGACAUAAGUAACGAUAAAGCGGGUGAAAAGCCCGCUCGCCGGAAGACCAAGGGUUCCUGUCCAACGUUAAUCGGGGCAGGGUGAGUCGACCCCUAAGGCGAGGCCGAAAGGCGUAGUCGAUGGGAAACAGGUUAAUAUUCCUGUACUUGGUGUUACUGCGAAGGGGGGACGGAGAAGGCUAUGUUGGCCGGGCGACGGUUGUCCCGGUUUAAGCGUGUAGGCUGGUUUUCCAGGCAAAUCCGGAAAAUCAAGGCUGAGGCGUGAUGACGAGGCACUACGGUGCUGAAGCAACAAAUGCCCUGCUUCCAGGAAAAGCCUCUAAGCAUCAGGUAACAUCAAAUCGUACCCCAAACCGACACAGGUGGUCAGGUAGAGAAUACCAAGGCGCUUGAGAGAACUCGGGUGAAGGAACUAGGCAAAAUGGUGCCGUAACUUCGGGAGAAGGCACGCUGAUAUGUAGGUGAAGCGACUUGCUCGUGGAGCUGAAAUCAGUCGAAGAUACCAGCUGGCUGCAACUGUUUAUUAAAAACACAGCACUGUGCAAACACGAAAGUGGACGUAUACGGUGUGACGCCUGCCCGGUGCCGGAAGGUUAAUUGAUGGGGUUAGCGGUAACGCGAAGCUCUUGAUCGAAGCCCCGGUAAACGGCGGCCGUAACUAUAACGGUCCUAAGGUAGCGAAAUUCCUUGUCGGGUAAGUUCCGACCUGCACGAAUGGCGUAAUGAUGGCCAGGCUGUCUCCACCCGAGACUCAGUGAAAUUGAACUCGCUGUGAAGAUGCAGUGUACCCGCGGCAAGACGGAAAGACCCCGUGAACCUUUACUAUAGCUUGACACUGAACAUUGAGCCUUGAUGUGUAGGAUAGGUGGGAGGCUUUGAAGUGUGGACGCCAGUCUGCAUGGAGCCGGCCUUGAAAUACCACCCUUUAAUGUUUGAUGUUCUAACGUUGGCCCCUGAUCGGGGUUGCGGACAGUGUCUGGUGGGUAGUUUGACUGGGGCGGUCUCCUCCUAAAGAGUAACGGAGGAGCACGAAGGUUGGCUAAUCCUGGUCGGACAUCAGGAGGUUAGUGCAAUGGCAUAAGCCAGCUUGACUGCGAGCGUGACGGCGCGAGCAGGUGCGAAAGCAGGUCAUAGUGAUCCGGUGGUUCUGAAUGGAAGGGCCAUCGCUCAACGGAUAAAAGGUACUCCGGGGAUAACAGGCUGAUACCGCCCAAGAGUUCAUAUCGACGGCGGUGUUUGGCACCUCGAUGUCGGCUCAUCACAUCCUGGGGCUGAAGUAGGUCCCAAGGGUAUGGCUGUUCGCCAUUUAAAGUGGUACGCGAGCUGGGUUUAGAACGUCGUGAGACAGUUCGGUCCCUAUCUGCCGUGGGCGCUGGAGAACUGAGGGGGGCUGCUCCUAGUACGAGAGGACCGGAGUGGACGCAUCACUGGUGUUCGGGUUGUCAUGCCAAUGGCACUGCCCGGUAGCUAAAUGCGGAAGAGAUAAGUGCUGAAAGCAUCUAAGCACGAAACUUGCCCCGAGAUGAGUUCUCCCUGAGACUUAGAGUCUCCUGAAGGAACGUUGAAGACGACGACGUUGAUAGGCCGGGUGUGUAAGCGCAGCGAUGCGUUGAGCUAACCGGUACUAAUGAACCGUGAGGCUUAACCUUACAACGCCGAAG